rnacentral:rRNA from 1 species
ACGAUAGCUAAGACCGGAUAACUGGUUUUCUCGCAUGAGAGAAUUAUGAAACACGGAGCAAUCUGUGGCUGAUAGAUGGGCCUGCGGCGCAUUAGCUAGUUGGUGGGGUAACGGCUCACCAAGGCGACGAUGCGUAGCCGACCUGAGAGGGUGAACGGCCACACUGGGACUGAGACACGGCCCAGACUCCUACGGGAGGCAGCAGUAGGGAAUCUUCCGCAAUGGACGCAAGUCUGACGGAGCAACGCCGCGUGAGUGAUGAAGGUUUUCGGAUCGUAAAGCUCUGUUGCCCUAGACGAACAGCAUGAGGAGUAACUGCCUUGUGUGUGACGGUAUAGGAGAAGAAAGCCCCGGCUAACUACGUGCCAGCAGCCGCGGUAAUACGUAGGGGGCAAGCGUUGUCCGGAAUUAUUGGGCGUAAAGCGCGCGCAGGCGGUUAAUUAAGUUGGGUGUUUAAGCCCGGGGCUCAACCCCGGUUCGCAUCCAAAACUGGUUGACUUGAGUGUAGGAGAGGAAAGUGGAAUUCCACGUGUAGCGGUGAAAUGCGUAGAGAUGUGGAGGAACACC